rnacentral:rRNA from 1 species
AAUCAACGCUGGCGGCGUGCCUCAGACAUGCAAGUCGAACGAUUAAACUUUCCUUCGGGGAAGAUAUAGAGUGGCGCACGGGUGAGUAACACGUAAGUAAUCUACCCUUGGGUGGGGAAUAACAUCGGGAAACCGAUGCUAAUACCGCAUAAUGCAGCGGCUUCUUAUGAAGACAGUUGUUAAAGCAUUUAUGUGCCUGAGGAGGAGCUUGCGGCAGAUUAGCAGUUGGUAAGGUAAUGGCUUACCAAGGCGACGAUCUGUAGCCGACCUGAGAGGGUGGUCGGUCACACUGACACUGAAUAACGGGUCAGACUCCGUACGGGAGGCAGCAGGUCGGGUAAGUUUUGGG